rnacentral:rRNA from 1 species
AGUGAACGCUGGCGGUAGGCCUAACACAUGCAAGUCGAACGGCAGCACAGUAAGAGCUUGCUCUUACGGGUGGCGAGUGGCGGACGGGUGAGGAAUACAUCGGAAUCUACUUUUUCGUGGGGGAUAACGUAGGGAAACUUACGCUAAUACCGCAUACGACCUACGGGUGAAAGCAGGGGAUCUUCGGACCUUGCGCGAUUGAAUGGGCCGAUGUCGGAUUAGCUAGUUGGCGGGGUAAAGGCCCACCAAGGCGACGAUCCGUAGCUGGUCUGAGAGGAUGAUCAGCCACACUGGAACUGAGACACGGUCCAGACUCCUACGGGAGGCAGCAGUGGGGAAUAUUGGACAAUGGGCGCAAGCCUGAUCCAGCCAUACCGCGUGGGUGAAGAAGGCCUUCGGGUUGUAAAGCCCUUUUGUUGGGAAAGAAAAGCAGCAGGUUAAUACCCCGCUGUUCUGACGGUACCCGAAGAAUAAGCACCGGCUAACUUCGUG